AUUGAACGCUGGCGGCAGGCCUAACACAUGCAAGUCGAGCGGAGCGGCGGACGGGUGAGUAAUGCCUAGGAAUCUGCCUGGUAGUGGGGGAUAACGUCCGGAAACGGGCGCUAAUACCGCAUACUAUCAGAUGAGUCUAGGUCGGAUUAGCUAGUUGGUGUGGUAAAGGCCUACCAAGGCGACGAUCCGUAACUGGUCUGAGAGGAGGAUAAGUCACACGGAGACUGAGACACGGGCCAGACUCCUACGUGAGGCAGUAGUGGGGAAUAUUGGACAAUGGGCGAAAGCCUGAUCCAGCCAUGCCGCGUGUGUGAAGAAGGUCUUCGGGUUGUAAAAUACUUUCAGCGGGGAGGCGUUACCCGCAGAAGAAGCACCGGCUAACUCCGUGCCAGCAGCCGCGGUAAUUC
rnacentral:rRNA from 1 species